rnacentral:rRNA from 1 species
AGCUUGAAGUGGUCGAUUUUAAGUGUUUCCUGCCCAGUGAUUUUUUUAACGGCCGCAGUACCUUGACUGUGCUAAGGUAGCAUAAUAAUUUGGCUUUUAAAUGGAGUCUAGAAUGAAUGGAGCUUGGGGGGUAACCUGUCUAAGGGGAAUAAUAUUAAUUUACUUUAGAGGUGAAAAUUUCCUCUAAUAAGAAGAAGGACGAGAAGACCCUAAGAAUUUUUUUAAGUUUAUUUUCAAUUUUAAUCUUAAUUUUGUUGGGGUGACAUGUCAACAUAAUUUAACUUGAUUAAUAUUAUAAGUAAGGUAUAUUUCUAGUGUGAGUUAAAUUACCUUAGGGAUAACAGCAUAAUUUAAAUUGUUAGAUUGUGACCUCGAUGUUGGACUAGGGAGUAUUAUGGCUAGACGCUAAAUUAAUUUGUUCUGUUCGAACACCUGUCCCU